UACGGGAGGCAGCAGUGAGGAAUAUUGGGCAAUGGGCAUAAGCCUGACCCAGCGACGCCGCGUGAGGGAAGAAGGUCUUCGGAUUGUAAACCUUAGUUAGCAGGGAAGAAGAAGUGACGGUACCUGCAGAGAAAGCCACGGCUAACUUACGUGCCAGCAGCCGCGGUAAU
rnacentral:rRNA from 1 species